rnacentral:misc_RNA from 1 species
CCCACUUUUUCCCUUUCCUUUCUCCCCAGUACAAAGAGCUCGAAAAUUUUCUGCGGUCUUAGGAACUGUUUUACCAAAGAGACCAAUGACGAUACGACCUAUUGAUUUUCCAUCGAUCUCAAUGUCAAAGUAAACUUUGUGGGUUACUACUUCCAAAUCCUCCUCUUCUGACUUAAUUUCUUUCUGACUAAGUCUGCUAUGGUUGAACUUCGGAUCUGAUGAAACUCUGGUGUCGCUUAAUCGAUUCUGAAUAAAAACUAGAGUUACAAAGAGAACCAGAACCCACAAGAGAGCGACAGAAAUCAAUCGUGCAGUGGUGGACAUGUCUCUGCUUCUCUUUGACGUUGGUGUUGUGAGAUUUCUGGAUCGGGCACAGAGCAGUGAAUGCCAA